rnacentral:rRNA from 1 species
GCUAGGGGGCCAUCCCGGCUUACCAACCCGAUGCAAACUGCGAAUACCGGAGAAUGUUAUCACGGGAGACACACGGCGGGUGCUAACGUCCGUCGUGAAGAGGGAAACAACCCAGACCGCCAGCUAAGGUCCCAAAGUCAUGGUUAAGUGGGAAACGAUGUGGGAAGGCCCAGACAGCCAGGAUGUUGGCUUAGAAGCAGCCAUCAUUUAAAGAAAGCGUAAUAGCUCACUGGUCGAGUCGGCCUGCGCGGAAGAUGUAACGGGGCUAAACCAUGCACCGAAGCUGCGGCAGCGA